rnacentral:rRNA from 1 species
UUCAGUGAAAUCGAGUAGGGCGGGACACGUGAUAUCCUGUCUGAAUAUGGGGGGACCAUCCUCCAAGGCUAAAUACUACUGACUGACCGAUAGUGAACCAGUACCGUGAGGGAAAGGCGAAAAGAACCCCUGUGAGGGGAGUGAAAUAGAACCUGAAACCGUGUACGUACAAGCAGUAGGAGCAGGCUUUGUCCUGUGACUGCGUACCUUUUGUAUAAUGGGUCAGCGACUUAUAUUCAGUGGCAAGGUUAACCAUCUAGGGGAGCCGUAGGGAAACCGAGUCUUAACUGGGCGUUCAGUCUCUGGAUAUAGACCCGAAACCAGGUGAUCUAGCCAUGG